GAACGUCGUGAGACAGUUUGGCCUCUAUCCUCCGUCAUCAUCUAGAAACGUGAAGGAAGCUGCUCCUAGUACGAGAGGACCGGAGUGGACGAACCUCUGGUGUACCUAUUGUCGUGUCAACGGCAGAGUAGGAUAGCUACGUUCGGCAGGGAUAACCGCUGAAAGCAUCUAAGUGGGAAGCCCCUCCUAAGAUUACGUUUCUCCAUAAGUCCGCCGGAAGAUGACCGGCUAGAUCGGCUACAAGUGUACGCACGGUAACGUGUUCAGCUGAGUAGUACGAAC
rnacentral:rRNA from 1 species